rnacentral:lncRNA from 1 species
UUCAAUUAAUUUGGGUGUGGAAAUUACAUCCUUUAGAAUUAUUUUGUGCAAGUGAUUCUCUUUCGGCUUCUGCUGGGAUCUUGAUGGAGCACAAAGGAUGGAUUUUGACAAGUACAAUGCUCAAAAAGAUGGCUUUUUUCUCGUUAGCAAUGAUUUGUCAAAUGGGAGUAUUACAAGGAUGUGUUUGUUUUGGCUGUAUUGAGGGAGGCUAGGGUCCAGGUUACAGCUAAAAAGGAGGUGAGUACCUUCCACUUUCCUCCUCCUAAUACAUUAGUAGUAGUAGUAGAAGUAGUAGUAUAUCAUCAUUGAUUUGCUUUCACAUUAUUCUGCCUUCCAUUUAAACCAUUGCCAUAUUGGAUCCAGAUAUAUGAAAUUCCAAAUCCAAAAUUUUAUUACAUUCAUUUUCCUGGAUAAGUUGACAGACUGAACCAAGUAUAGGAAGUAAUUAAUAUAAAACAAAUUGCUGAUCAUACCAAGAAAUAACCAAAACGAACAACUGCUCAAGUUCACCAUCUAUUUCAUCACACAAACUACUCAAAAAAAAUACUCCUACAUACAAAAGCUGGUAGAAUGAGUCAUUUCAAAAUAAGGGAUCUACUGCCUUUAAUUUGCAAACUGGAAAAGAGAAAACGGAAAAAUAAUGCAGACAUCAAAAAACCAAAAAUAAAAUAAUGGAAAACCUGCAGACCAGGUAAGAUGACAUUGUUGAAGUAUAUACGGAACUUACGCAAAAGCAGUGUAACCAGUACCAGCAUUAGCAGCAGAUAGCAUUGCUGCAGACACAGAGUCCUGCCCUCCCGUGGGCCGUGGCCAAAGAAUUCCUUCGAUCACCAUCCACCUGAACCAAUAAAAAUCAUGAAAUAAUAGUGAAUAAUCACACUAGUACUUUAUAUCUUCAUUUUUAUUUAUGACAGUGGACCGCAGACACUACUCUUAGGAGUUCACUCUAUAAACCACUAGGUGCAAGCAAUAUCCACUAACCACUAGCACUGAGUAAUCCCAUAGUAAACUAUCUGUGGGUUUCCCCAAGCAGAUAGAUCCAUCCUUCUCUUUUCGAGCCAAAAGGGGGAUUUUCCAUACCAAACUUGUCUUCAAUUGAUCAACUUACUAGGAAGUUAAUUUGUUCAUGGUAACGGGAUCCAAUUAAAAGACACUUAGAACUAGGCUCACUCCACUUGACUCCUUGUGUUACAAGUCCUUCAUAUAUCUUGAGAAAAAUAGAAGGGAAUAACAUAUUAGUACACACAAAUAAAAACCUUAUCCCAGUUUGAUUUCUUAUUCGGCCUACCAUCCCGAACUACAGUGUCAACAGGAGCAGGAACUUAUAGAAGCAACCCACCACCAGCCAUAGAUGAUACACCUAUAGAAGCAACCCACCACCAGCCAUAGAUGAUACACCUAUAGAAGCAACCAACCAACCACGAAAAUUCAAAACAUAGCACGCUUUGUGAACAAAAAACCGGGAAACCGAAAUUUAAUACAUAAAUGUCUUUGGAAGCCAUUCAACCAAUACAACCAUAUGAUGGAUUGGUUCAGACCUGGAAUUGGCAUGUUAAUUUUUGGUGUAGAAACGACUGUUCCAAGUUGUGUUCCUCCGGAAAUAUAUUCAAUCUUUUGAUUCUUCUUCUUUUCUUGCUCCUCCUCUCCAUCUCCCGCUUCAUAUUAGCCUCUGAACCAAAAAUAGACAUGACAAAAGUAGUUGUUAAUAAUGUCUGUCUAUAUUUGAUAGCACCCACUCAGAAAUGUACAUAUUAGCAAAACUUGGAACUAUCAUAACAGGGAGGAUUCUAGAAAAACUUGUUUUUAUCCCCAAAAAGAGGAUCAAACAAAAUUCAUCUAGACCAUCAUGGAAAUUAUAGCAAUCCAAAAAGGCCAACUUGUGGAAAGAGUAUAUAGGUUAUUAAACUCCCAUUAGUAACCAACAAAACUGGAGGUGUACUGCAUACCUCUCACAAACUUGUACAUUUACAUAGAGAGAGACAGACAAGACAAAGGAGAGAGCAAGGAGUUGCUAGUGACCUAUUUCAUCAUAGUAGUCACUUUUUUCAUAUCCACGAGGGUUGAAUACAUCUUCACCGAAGCAGGUUCCUAUUUGAUCAAUGUCUUGAUACGUCACUGAAUGCAUCCUAUUUCACACUUCUGCAUUAAAGCUUCUUCCGGUUGUCGUCUUUAGUGUAAGAAAUUUAAUAAUCUUUUCCUGCAAUAACAUAUCACGAAGAACACAGCAUAAGAAAGUAUAUAUAUCAAGGGAUAGAAACAUGUCUGUUAAAGAAAAUAGACCAUAAAUGAAGUAUCAAAUUAUAACGUAAUCAAAUGGUAUAUGACUAAAAUUAAGCAUGAUGAUGAUUUGUAAAUGCUAGGAUACCUCAUGCUCCCCAAGGUUAACUUAAAAACAUCAGUAAUAUACUAGUAAAAGAGGAGAUGUCUAGUGUUCAUAUUCAGUCUUUAGCCCAUGACAGGACUUUGUAAAAUGCAACAUUGAUUUUUAUAUUAUACAUUUUUUUAAAAGGAAAAAUCUAGGAGAGUAGGAGAAAAGAAUUUCUAUGAACACAUCUGCCUUUACGUAUACCCUGCUUUUGGUUUAUUAAAGUAAACUGACAAAUUUCCAUGUCAAUUUUUCUGAAUGUUUUUAACUAAUUCACUUUCAUUUUGAACCUGCAUACUAUAAGCUUCCUAGAAAAUGUUCAAACAUUCAAAGGGCAUUUCAAAAGACUCUUACUUGCAGUUCGUCAGAGCAUUUGACUGUUAAUGGCGGUAGAAGUAGAAGAAACUUGUCCAAGGGAUCAAUGUCUUUAGGCUCUUCAAGAGAAACUUUAACAGCUUCCUCAACAGAUACUGAUUCAGUUACAGAGCACUCCAUUCCC